rnacentral:rRNA from 1 species
UUAGAGUUUGAUCCUGGCUCAGGAUGAACGCUAGCGGCAGGCCUAACACAUGCAAGUCGAGGGGUAACAGGUGUAGCAAUACAUGCUGACGACCGGCGGACGGGUGAGUAACGCGUAUGCAAUCUGCCUCUGACUGAGGGAUAGCCCAGAGAAAUCUGAAUUAAUACCUCAUAACAUCAUGAUUGGACAUCCUUUUAUGAUUAAAGCUCCGGCGGUCAGAGAUGAGCAUGCGUGCCAUUAGUUAGUUGGCGGGGUAACAGCCCACCAAGACUGCGAUGGCUAGGGGGUCUGAGAGGAUGAUCCCCCACACUGGUACUGAGACACGGAUCAGACUCCUACGGGAGGCAGCAGUGAGGAAUAUUGGGCAAUAGGCGCAAGCCUGACCCAGCCAUGCCGCGUGCAGGAUGAAGGCCCUAUGGGUUGUAAACUGCUUUUAUACGGGACGAAUCCCUCGGACGUGUCCGGGGCUGACGGUACCGUAAGAAUAAGCAUCGGCUAACUCCGUGCCAGCAGCCGCGGUAAUACGGAGGAUGCAAGCGUUAUCCGGAUUCAUUGGGUUUAAAGGGUGCGUAGGCGGAACGAUAAGUCAGCGGUGAAAUCCUGCAGCUUAACUGUAGAAUUGCCAUUGAUACUGCCGUUCUUGAAUGCGGUUGAGGCAGGCGGAAUGUGUAUUGUAGCGGUGAAAUGCGUAGAUAUUACACAGAACACCUAUUGCGUAGGCAGCCUGCUAAGCCGUGAUUGACGCUGAGGCUCGAAAGCGUGGGGAGCAAACAGGAUUAGAUACCCUGGUAGUCCACGCUGUAAACGAUGAUCACUCGCUGUUGGCGAUAUACCGUUCAGCGGCUAAGCGAAAGCAUUAAGUGAUCCACCUGGGGAGUACGACGGCAACGUUGAAACUCAAAGGAAUUGACGGGGGCCCGCACAAGCGGAGGAACAUGUGGUUUAAUUCGAUGAUACGCGAGGAACCUUACCUGGGCUUAAAUGGGAGACGACGUCUCGGGAAACCGGGAUUCCCUUCGGGGCGGCUCUCAAGGUGCUGCAUGGUUGUCGUCAGCUCGUGCCGUGAGGUGUCGGGUUAAGUCCCAUAACGAGCGCAACCCCUAUCGUUAGUUGCCAGCGGGUAAUGCCGGGGACUCUAGCGAAACUGCCAGCGUAAGCUGUGAGGAAGGUGGGGAUGACGUCAAAUCAGCACGGCCCUUACGUCCAGGGCAACACACGUGUUACAAUGGCCGGUACAAAGGGCAGCUACUGGGCGACCAGAUGCUAAUCUCUAAAACCGGUCUUAGUUCGGAUUGAAGUCUGAAACUCGACUUCAUGAAGUUGGAUUCGCUAGUAAUCGCGCAUCAGCUAUGGCGCGGUGAAUCCGUUCCCGGGCCUUGCACUCACCGCCCGUCA